rnacentral:rRNA from 1 species
AGAUUGAACGCUAGCGGGAUGCUUUACACAUGCAAGUCGAACGGCAGCGCGGACUUCGGUCUGGCGGCGAGUGGCGAACGGGUGAGUAAUAUAUCGGAACGUGCCCAGUAGCGGGGGAUAACUACGCGAAAGCGUGGCUAAUACCGCAUACGCCCUACGGGGGAAAGGGGGGGAUCGCAAGACCUCUCACUAUUGGAGCGGCCGAUAUCAGAUUGGCUAGUUGGUGAGGUAAAGGCUCACCAAGGCGACGAUCUGUAGCUGGUUUGAGAGGACGACCAGCCACACUGGGACCUGAGACACGGCCCAGACUCCUACGGGAGGCAGCAGUGGGAAUUUGGACAAGUGGGGAAACCCUGAUCCAGCCAUCCCGCGUGUGCGAUGAAGGCCUUGGGUUGUAAGCUACUUUUGGCAAGGAAGAAACGCGUUAGUAC